ACCAAUGGGUUCAGCUUCAAGAGCAGGGACAGGGGUUGUCCAAUGCCGCCAUUAGCACCGCAAACAGUUACUUUGAAGUUGCUCUAAAGAAAUGUAAUUAAGAAAUAAGAAAUCAGUACAAGGAAAUAGAUAAAAAAUUGUUGCAUCUGGAAUAAAAAAAAAAUACCAAAAAGUAUUACGUAAAGCCUCUGACGUUUUCUUGGUCGAUGGGAAAAUGAUAUGAUUUUUUGAAAUAAACUUACUUGUUUGCUGGUGGAGAAGUUCCUGGUAGCUUGGAAAGCUAAUUGUUUGCUAACUUGCUUGAACAUUUUUAAUACCGUUAAAUUAUUUGCGGGAGCAAUUGAAAAAUAAUGUGGAUAAAAGUGAUACACUCGACAACCGACCUUCGACACAGAGGUUAUGCGAAAUAAAAUGAAAAA